rnacentral:rRNA from 1 species
UACGUAGGGGGCAAGCGUUGUCCGGAUUUAUUGGGCGUAAAGAGCGUGUAGGCGGCUGGAUAGGUCCGUUGUGAAAACUCGAGGCUCAACCUCGAGACGCCGAUGGAAACCAUCCAGCUAGAGUCCGGAAGAGGAGAGUGGAAUUCCCGGUGUAGCGGUGAAAUGCGCAGAUAUCGGGAAGAACACCCGUGGCUAAGGCGGCUCUCUAGUACGGAACUGACGCUGAGACGCGAAAGCGUGGGGAGCGAACAGG